GAUCAUGUGCUACCCUCUGAGAUGGCAGCUAUAAAGUCAGGACACUUGUCAACGAAGACCCACCCCUGCAUGAACCUGCCCACUGCCCGGCCACCUCCAGGCCUUAAAUCCAUGGAAGUUGAAGUUUGUCAGCUUUUUGUUUGAUUCUACUGGGUAUACUGAAAUCUUCUCAGCUGGCCAACAUCCUCUCUGUUACGUUGAGCAACUCAACACAGGUAGGCAGUCAGCACUAUCUCCACGAAAAUAAACAUGUAUGGAAAUAAUACCCAGAGGACAGAUCAGCACAACACCCCCAGGGUCACCCUGUGAUGGGCUGUAAGUAAACACAGAGCUAUGGAGAAGGCCAGCCAAAGAACUUCUGAAUAGUCUCCGCUGUAUACUUGUUUCAACAAUGAAAUUACUUCAAAUUUCAGAGGGAUGAAGACAAGGCAGGAGAACAAGAGAAGUAAUAGCAUCAGGCAAAUGUUAUUCUUCCUUUGCCUUGAAACACACACCGCUUCCCAGGCAAGUGAAAUUGGUACCGCUCUGCGACAGUCAGAUAGCAAUUAAUCUGUGUUCCCUCCACAGCUCAAUCCAAUGGGGCUCCCAUCUGUCCUCCCUAAAAUGCACGGCGGGCUGGGAGCCACAGGGAGAUGAGCCGUUCUCGCCGUCCCUUCUCGUGCAGACGGCAUCGCUGCGAAGCCUCGUGCAGCGGAGGGGCUGAAUGGGCCAUUGUAGCCCCUCUCAGUCCCAGGAAAGGAGGACUUUGUCAGCGGGACUGCGCCAAAGAGCUUGGCACUCUCUCCCUUUCGGUUGCAUAAGGCAACUGCUUAGAAACUGGUGCAGGGACAUAAGCUGGGCUCGAAGGCAGAAAACUGCCCAGGGCUAUGACUGGCAUAGACAACACUUGUCCUGCAAACAAACCCUUCCACUUGAAAGACAGAUGACAACAGAAUAAAACACCAGCUCACAACUGUACAAAAAAACCUCACUGACAACUUACAUCCUUCCUGUGGGUGCCUAAGACCUGAACUUACUUAAAGAUUCACAACCUAGUAAAACUACUGUAGCUCUGGAAGAGAAAGUCAGCAUGACAGUCUCGGGGCCAAGGACAGGUGAAGCUCCCUGCAGGUUAGCCAUGCGAAAGCCUGGCAUUUCACCAAAGCCACCAGCCUAGGCCUCCUCUGCAGCUGCCCAGGACCAAGCAGCAGCACCGUGGCGUGACCCACCUCAUGUGGACCACUUCUCUGAAGGUGGUCACCUUUCUCUCACUUCCCGUUGAGAAGUUCAGAUUCUGGUCCACAUCAGAUACCUGAUUUUCCAUGGCCCAGACUAGGGGAGAUGGAUCUUUCACCUUCUGCUUGGAUCCAAGCUUCUACAGUGAACUUCUCCUCUUACUGCUAGUUUUUCACCAGAUCAUCAUUUUUGGUCCCAAUUUGACACACUGACAUGGUUCAGUAGCAAAAUUUUUUGUAGGGCUUUUUAUCAGUUGUUCUUAUAAGCAGUACGGAUUAAUUAUAUGGUAUGAAUUUACACUGCAUGUCACAAAUUUUAGGCUUAUGUGUUUCCAGAAGAGCAAGCAUUCUGAAUUUGCCAGGCAGACAGCUGCCUUCUCACUCACAGGUCCACCCAUGUAGUCCACCCAGCCCCAGCAGCAGGCAUAGUGUGCCCUCUGUUACAACACCCCAAAGCGGCAGAAUUUUCCUGUUAACACAAUACGACAACUUCAUUUCUAAUGAUCUCGUAAUGCUGUGCUCUAAUUGAAUUUUUUAUUUCUUUUAUAGUAUUCAAUCCUGCAAAAAGAAGCUGCAAGAUGAGCUUAUAAAGUUUUCUACAUUUGUCUGUUUUGUUUAUAAAAAGAGUGUAUAAUGACAUAUGUUCUUUGAACCAGCUCUUAGCAAUUAAAGUUGUUUGCUAAUAAAAGUUUGUUGGUUUCAUAAUACAGACAGAAAUGUGUAACUGGGAUAUACAAGCAAACUUAAACUCAUACUUCAGGCUAAUCAUUUGUGUUCCUCACUUCAUCUGUAAUGCAUUGCAGAAUAUCUUACAAAAAAUAGUUUACACAUACAAAGCUACAAAAGAAUGCUAUUAAUAUUUAAUUAAUAACUAGAAGACUCAUCACACAGUCCCAGAUUUUGUA